GGCCCGAGAGGCGGCGGCUGGGGAAACUGAGGCACGGGGCUGGGACUGAGCGGUGGUGCAGCCUGGGUAAUUCCUCAAGGAGAGUGAUGCCCGAAAAAGAUUGGCUGGAAGUAAAUAGACCGGUGUCUAUGGAGCAGAUAUUUGUUUCUUGCAGUGCUGGAGGUGAGGGGGAUUUCUCCACCUCGCUUGCUCACCCUUGUCAAGUGCUGUGGUUUAUUUAUACACAAAGAAUAAAAUAAAUCGCAUCAUGGAGGUAGAAGUUUAUUUCUACAAGAUCUACUGUACAAACUCUACAACCAGGCAUCGUUUGUGCUCCUGCCUGAAAGGAAUUCAGCACAUCUCCAUUUUCCAGGGAAAAAAACCUCUUGAAAAACACAAACUUUUUAAAUUCAGAAAUUCAAGUUUCUUGGAUUUUAACACCUUCAGACUCAUGAAGCAACACAGAGACUUAAGUGGAAGCAGUGUGUUUCCUUCCACCCAUCCCAUUUCAUCUCCUGCCUGGAAAACUUUACCCUCAAAGGAGUGCCUGAUUGCAGAGAAGGUCGUGCCUGUCUCAUAAAAAUCCCAGUGCUUCCUAUCUUCAGAGAGACUAAUGCCAGACAGAGUUAAAUAUGGAAAGUUCUACUUUUAAAGCCCUUGCUAUGUGUCACCUUCCAGACCCUCCAACAGGACCUUUAUUUCAAACCAUUGAAAACUCUGGAUUUUCCAUGAUGAUUAUUAGAAUUGAAGAGGAAAGUUGUCACUUAUCAAAAUAACUCUCAAAAAGCAGGGACCAAGUGUUCUUGCAUUACUGUUUAGUACAGCAUAUGGGAAAUAUAAAUAAGCCAUACAAAGACUUUACACAGUGUUGGGAAGGAUGAGAAUUGAACAGUAAAGUUUUAUGGAUGUUAUAAUAAAUGCAAAUGAUUCUUGCUAACUCAAUUGUAACUAUUUGUAAAGUUAUUAUUAGAAGCAAUCAAGGGAAUCAGUGCUAUAAGGACGAUGCACCCCUUUACAGAUGUUACAUGUUAAAAUUAAGGUACAGGAUGUAGUUUUGAGAUAAGUGAUGUCCCAAGACAAAAAUCAACCUUGAGAUGGAUAAAGUCAGAAUGACUUUAGGCAGAGGGCCUGAAAAUUAUAAAAUGUAAGACUAAUUAGUGGAACAUAAUGUUUACUUAACACAAUGCUUAUUACACAUGUGCAACCAGAGGACAAUGAGGAUGAGUGUAAGCCUUCAUCCAAAGACCACCAAAAGAAGACUGAGACAUGUGCCAUGAAGAACAGUGACAUAAAAUUAAAGAAUCAGAAAUAGGAGGAGACUUAUGGGAAAUAUUAAGGAAUAUGUAUAAGCAUAUAGUAUAUAAGUUUUGUUUAAAUUGCUUUGUUUUGUAUGUGAGGUGGGGUGAGAAGCCCUCUCCAUACCCCAGUCAGUUUUGCUUAUGUAUUAAUCGUGCUUAAUUACUGGAAAAUUACAUAUAUAAAUUGCGGUUUUUUGCUAAAUUGUAUUCUUUUACUAAAUUGUAUUUUCUUAUACCAAAUUGUUAUCCAAUUCACUAAACUGUAUUCAUUUUUAACUAAACUCCUGUUAACUCAAUAAAUCUCAUUGUCAAAUCCUAAUUUCACUUAUAACAAUGUGAAUGCUUAGCAGAGGGUUGUUUAGAAAUGAAAGCAAGCUCUAAUAUAUAAAAUGAUAUUUUUAGGGAUAGGUAUUGCUGAAACAGCUGAGAGAACAAAGGUUUAGUCAAGUUGGAAGGUUUAGUCAGUUAGGAGGGGUUUUAUGGCUAAAAGUCCAAUAAGUUAAGUGGU